GGCUCUGAUACCACUGUUGAGUUUUGGUGAUGUAGCAAAAUAUAUAUUUCAAAAUUUUUAACAUGCAUUCAAUAAAUAAAAAUAAGAUUUAACAAUUAAACUCAACCACCGAAACUCAAAACCUUAGGAACCUCUUGACGAUUACAAUCAAAUCACAAAACAAGCAUAUAAGGAGAAAACCAGAAGUCAUAUACCACCAUGAAGACCAUGAACUGGUGAUUUUGAUAUCUCCAUGAGACUCCAAAGUAGAAGCCCUCCAAUGGUGAUCCAUAUAGGAUUGAUCAGGACCCUUCCCAACUCGUCAUGGUGCUGCAGCCUUCUUUACAAGUGCGCUCUCGAUUGUCCUUCACAAGAACACGAUGCACCAUUGCUUGUAUGCCUUCAUGACCUCUACUAGGACCACUCUAGAAACUUUUUUCUAAAGUAUCAAACCACACUCUAAUCAGAUUUUAUGUUCAACACAUGAACAAUCUGAUUUUAGGAUAAGUAUCUCAUACUUUCUUUUUUCUUCUUCUCUUCCUUUCUAUUUUCUUUCCCUUUCCCAUUCUAUUUUCACUUCAAAUUUUUACCACCUCUUUCUCAUCUAAUUCCACAUCAAAAAUAGAUUGGAUAAUUUUUAUACCAUAUGGGGUGCCCCUUAAAUAAGGGAUAAAGAGGCACCACACAAGACACCAAGGGGCGCCAACUCUUG
rnacentral:lncRNA from 1 species